rnacentral:rRNA from 1 species
UACACGUGGGUAACCUGCCUGUAAGACUGGGAUAACUCCGGGAAACCGGGGCUAAUACCGGAUGCUUGAUUGAACCGCAUGGUUCAAUCAUAAAAGGUGGCUUUCAGCUACCACUUACAGAUGGACCCGCGGCGCAUUAGCUAGUUGGUGAGGUAACGGCUCACCAAGGCGACGAUGCGUAGCCGACCUGAGAGGGUGAUCGGCCACACUGGGACUGAGACACGGCCCAGACUCCUACGGGAGGCAGCAGUAGGGAAUCUUCCGCAAUGGACGAAAGUCUGACGGAGCAACGCCGCGUGAGUGAUGAAGGUUUUCGGAUCGUAAAACUCUGUUGUUAGGGAAGAACAAGUACCGUUCGAAUAGGGCGGUACCUUGACGGUACCUAACCAGAAAGCCACGGCUAACUACGUGCCAGCAGCCGCGGUAAUACGUAGGUGGCAAGCGUUGUCCGGAAUUAUUGGGCGUAAAGCGCGCGCAGGCGGUUUCUUAAGUCUGAUGUGAAAGCCCCCGGCUCAACCGGGGAGGGUCAUUGGAAACUGGGGAACUUGAGUGCAGAAGAGGAGAGUGGAAUUCCACGUGUAGCGGUGAAAUGCGUAGAGAUGUGGAGGAACACCAGUGGCGAAGGCGACUCUCUGGUCUGUAACUGACGCUGAGGCGCGAAAGCGUGGGGAGCGAACAGGAUUAGAUACCCUGGUAGUCCACGCCGUAAACGAUGAGUGCUAAGUGUUAGAGGGUUUCCGCCCUUUAGUGCUGCAGCAAACGCAUUAAGCACUCCGCCUGGGGAGUACGGUCGCAAGACUGAAACUCAAAGGAAUUGACGGGGGCCCGCACAAGCGGUGGAGCAUGUGGUUUAAUUCGAAGCAACGCGAAGAACCUUACCAGGUCUUGACAUCCUCUGACAACCCUAGAGAUAGGGCUUCCCCUUCGGGGGCAGAGUGACAGGUGGUGCAUGGUUGUCGUCAGCUCGUGUCGUGAGAUGUUGGGUUAAGUCCCGCAACGAGCGCAACCCUUGAUCUUAGUUGCCAGCAUUCAGUUGGGCACUCUAAGGUGACUGCCGGUGACAAACCGGAGGAAGGUGGGGAUGACGUCAAAUCAUCAUGCCCCUUAUGACCUGGGCUACACACGUGCUACAAUGGGCAGAACAAAGGGCAGCGAAGCCGCGAGGCUAAGCCAAUCCCACAAAUCUGUUCUCAGUUCGGAUCGCAGUCUGCAACUCGACUGCGUGAAGCUGGAAUCGC